UGCCUCAAUUAAUCAAGCUCAAGCUGGAUCGAAAAUUUCGUUGAGUUCGGCAGGUUUACAUUUAGUGAAAAAUAUUUGUAAACGGUUAUAACUUUUCGUUUGAGUAUCUAUUUUCAGUGUGUAACUCUAAUUCGAAAAAUACUUUUCGAGAUCUAUGCGUUAAACAGUAAAAUAGUUUGGCUGAGUUUGGAAUCCAAAUUCAACUGUUUAGCCGAGUUUAGGAUCCAAAUUCAACUGUUUAGCCCUUCGUUUUUCAAUUUUUAGAUUUUUGAAAAG
rnacentral:lncRNA from 1 species